GCAUGGAAACGUCCUGGGAAA
rnacentral:miRNA from 1 species